AGUCCUGUAGCUCAGUGGUUAGAGCACUUGCCUUCCAAGCGAGACACCUGGGUUCAAUUCCCGGCAGGGCGA
rnacentral:tRNA from 1 species